GGGGAACCAGGACUUUUACUUUGAAAAAAUUAGAGUGCUCCAGGCAGGCCUAUGCUCGAAUACAUUAGCAUGGAAUAAUAGAAUAGGACGUGUGGUUCUAUUUUGUUGGUUUCUAGGACCGCCGUAAUGAUUAAUAGGGACAGUCGGGGGCAUCAGUAUUCAAUUGUCAGAGGUGAAAUUCUUGGAUCUAUUGAAGACUAACUACUGCGAAAGCAUUUGCCAAGGAUGUUUUCAUUGAUAAGGAACGAAAGUUAGGGGAUCGAAGACGAUCAGAUACCGUCGUAGUCUUAACUAUAAACUAUGCCGACUAGGGAUCGGACGAUGUUAUCUUUUGACGCGUUCGGCACCUUUCGAGAAAUCAAAGUGCUUGGGCUCCAGGGGGAGUAUGGUCGCAAGGCUGAAACUUAAAGAAAUUGACGGAAGGGCACCACCAGGGGUGGAACCUGCGGCUUAAUUUGACUCAACACGGGGAAACUCACCAGGUCCAGACACAGUGAGGAUUGACAGAUUGAGAGCUCUUUCUUGAUUCUGUGGGUGGUGGUGCAUGGCCGUUCUUAGUUGGUGGAGUGAUUUGUCUGCUUAAUUGCGAUAACGAACGAGACCU
rnacentral:rRNA from 1 species